GUGUUUGGAUAUCUGAUUUUGGAUGAGGUUUUUGGUAACGAGGAUGAAAUUCCGAUGAGAAGCGGAUGAUUAAUUGAUUUCAAUUUUUCUUUUUUCUUUUUUCAAAACACUUACCAAAAGAUGGAAGGAAAAAAAAGGAGGUAGUCUAUUUUCAUUUAAAAUUGAGAGAUGUUCAACCCUUUUUUCAAUUAAAAUGUACAUAUGAAACACCCUAAAUACCAUCUUCUUCCGCCUCUACACACCCAUCCAUCCAAAGCCAUAAUCCUUAUUUCUUCUCCAUUGUCUCUCGUUUUCUUCCUCUCUUUCCUUUCCUUCUCCUUCAUCUUCCUCCUAAUUUUUUUGUCAUAACACCG
rnacentral:lncRNA from 1 species